UACGUAGGGGGCGAGCGUUGUCCGGAUUCAUUGGGCGUAAAGAGCUCGUAGGCGGUUUGGCAAGUCGGGUGUGAAAUCUCUGGGCUCAACUCAGAGAGGCCACUCGAUACUGCUAUGACUAGAGUCCGGUAGGGGACCAUGGAAUUCCUGGUGUAGCGGUGAAAUGCGCAGAUAUCGGGAAGAACACCCGUGGCGAAGGCGGGUCUCUGGGCCGAUACUGACGCUGAGGAGCGAAAGCGUGGGGAGCGAACAGG
rnacentral:rRNA from 1 species